GGAAGAACUUUUUGACGCUCUCAGGGGGAGAGAAAGAGACCGCGAGCUGCCGCCGUCGUUGCCGUUGCCGCCUGGCCCCAGAGUGAAGGAGACGCGGACGCCCACCGAAGCGCCGAGGGGGGAGCCCGUCGCCGGCGAAGCCCGCUUUUCCCGCCCUUUUCCAGCCCAUGGUGCGCUCGGCGAGGCGCUCAGGGGCUUUGAUUUCCCUCAGACGCUGACAGGUGAGAGAGACUUUGCGCGCCUGCCGCCAACCCCGGGGAGCCGGGCGACCCUCUCGAGCCGCCGCCAUACUCUUCAUUAAAAAUGAAAUUAUUUAGUGGAAUUCGUAUGCCGCCCUUCUCCCGAAGAUCACAGAAUGGUUCACAACCUCCAGUGGGAUGGCUAAGCCUAAAAGUCUGCAGGCGCUACCUACCCCUAAUCCCAAACGGACUAGGGAAAGCGCCCUCUGCACAUGCUCAGAAGGGGAAUAUUUGCUGUUUUGUUGCGUGCUGGGUUUUUCGGAGGGGAAGCCGAAAGCCUGAGCCCUAUGUGGGACUUGGUAAAGCCGGGUUUAACUUGUAUAGGCGGGGUGGGAAGGGAGGUGAAGAGAGAGCAACGCAUAUUCAUGGCAUCCAAGGAGCUCCAUGGUCGGAGGCUGUUGGCUGUUGGCUUCAUGUAGACAAGAUGGAACUUGGUGCUAUUCAGCACAAGUUCUUUUAUAAAGCAUUUCCUCCUUUGUUAAAAAAAAAAAAUAAUCCUGAAGGAGUCUGUCAUAGCAAGCAAAUAGGAAAGAGAGUAAUUAAAGAGAGGAUUUGCCUUUGAAAGUUCCGGCCACAAUAAUUUUUAAGAUGCCACAAGACUCCCCCAUGCACACACUUUUGGGGUGUGUGUGUGAUUUUUUAUUUUUAUUUUUUAACUCUCUGAGGGUUUUGGUGAAAGAAAUAAUCCCCUUUCAUGCAUCUCCUUUCCAGAUUUCCACUCCAUUUAGUCUUAGUGGGACUUCCUCACUGGGUAGUUACUUUAGUUGUGAAGUUUCGGGAUAAAGAGAGCGAUGAGUCCCAUAUGCCUCUUCACAGAAUAAAUGGGCUAGUUUGUAAUCAACUUGCGCAACACGUUUGGUAAACAUGGUGUUCAGGAAGAUGCCUUACUGUAGAAUCUAUUUAUUCAAUUGCUCUUUUGCGUUUUACAUUGUUUACUUCUGGUCUCUCACCAGGCUGAUCAAUAUGGCAAUUGUAGGGAAAGACAAUACAAUGAGUUUAUGAGCAAAAAUAGGUUAGCAGAUAAUCAGAUUUCUCUUUUCUUUUUUUGAAGAGGCACAAGAAUGGAAAUCAGUCUAUGUGUAUUGUUUUCUUCUAUCACAUACAAUGAUGAGAUCUUGGACAAAUCAUCUAAUCAAAGUUAUAAAACUGAGUUCUUAAUGCCUCCUUCAGAUAUCCAUUGUAAGACUAAAGUCGUUACUGUUUGGAAAUUGGACUGCCUAGUCCUCAAAUGGUACUUCUGUUGACUUUGCCAAGAAUGCACUUACACAUCUAAUAGCACCUUAAGAUUACUAGGCUCAAAAGCAUCUAAUUUACUUUUUCAUCACUUCAGAAACAGAUCUGGCAAGUUUUGUUGUGAAUAGUUAUUUCAUAUUUCUUUUCCACUCUUCUACCCUGCCCACUAAUUUCAUCUGAUUCUGUGGCCACUACUUCAGUUCUGUUUGGUCCUCAUAAUGUAAUUACCUUUUACAAUGGUGUAUUGCUCCCUUCGCUUCAUGUAGGUAUGGUUAUUCCAUAUUCCUAUGAUACAUAUCCUAUCCUAUAUCCCAUGUGAUUUUGAUACAUUUGAUAGCAUGCUACAUAUAUAACAUAUGUAAACUUUUGGACUUGGAAAGAUAUGAAUUCAAAUCUCUCUAUAGCCCCUGCCUCAUUGAUCAGUUUUUGGCAGAUCAUUAGCUCUGAUCCAGAAAAGCAGCAAAAAGCGCAAGCCUGUCUGGGUUCUUGUUUAAAAUAUUGCUUUGAGAUUAUUAGAGAAAUUAUGAGAUACAAAUAUAAAUAAAUCACUUCCUUCAAACAUACUGACAGCUCUAUCUAUCUGUUUUGGUGGUGUAAUUGUGAUUCCAAUCCAAGUGUGGAUAAUAUUUGGCACUCCAGAUGUUGUUGAACUAAAACUCCCAUCAGCCCCACCAAGCAUGCUCAAAGGCUAAGGAUAAUAGGAACUGUAGUUCAGCAACUUCUGGAGAGCUAAAUGUUCAGAAAUGUUCUAUUGGUGGCUCCAGCAGAAAGAUGCUGUUCAGCAUCUUAACCCAAUUUUGGUAUAUGUGUGGAGUACAGUUAUUGUAGAUAUUUAUUUAUUUAAUUAACUUUCUUCACUGAAGUAAAGAGCAAUGGGGUGUUCUGCAAAACUUUUCUAUAAAUCUUAACUGGCUCCCUCUCUGCUUUUCUUCCUUCCACCACCUGUUCAGAUGGCUUGGCAAUGUACUCAUUUACGUUUAAGAGUUCUGCAUAGGGUUCUCUAUAGAGUAUAAAAGCUUUUGCCGUAUUCUCCUGCCUAGUAUCGCAAGGAGUGCACAUCACAUUGGGCAGUCAUGGGGAUUUCCUUAUUCUGUUGUUAACUUGCAGCCAAUUACCGUAAAUGUGUAGUUCUUCUAGCUGUAUAUGACAUACCCAAACCAUCCAGCAAAAUAAAUAAAGGCAGAAGUAAUUAAAGUUAAUUUGUGACACACCUAGUCUGGUUUUGUUUUUUUACAAAAGCCUCACAUGAAGAUGAAACAGACUUUAGUUUGUAAAAUCAUUAGAUUCCUUUCUGGGAGUUUCUGUCACAGGUCCAACAUAACCUAUGCUCCAACACAUUAUUGAUCAGUAAAUUAAAAGUGUGUGUGUUUCUUGGUCACUGUGAUUAAUGGAAGUGAUACAGAUAACAAGAAUAAAAUAGUAUCAUGUUUUCUUUGUAGAAAGGCAGUUGAUAGAUCUUAAAUACUUAAAAUUUUAAGCUACAAAAUGCAACUGCAUCAGUAGUGUGAUGUAGUAAAUGGAAACAGUUAUGGGUUGUUUAUUGUUUUUUAUUAAAGAUUUCUUAGUUUACAAAAAUACAUGCAUUGUCUGGAAAUGGAAACAGUUAUAGCUCUAGUCCUACUGCUUCCAGUGACCUCUGGUCAAGUAACACAUUUGCCCAGAUAACAUAUAGUUUUGCCCUGAGAGACUAGUAGCUAAGGCAUUAUUGUACAAUUUUCCAUUUGGAUAUCACAGAACAUAGAACAAUAAAGGAAUUGCUAAGUUGGGUAUGUCUGACUUCAGAAUUAGAAAAAGAGUUCUGAGUAAUUGCACGCUUUUGCACAAACACUAACAUAACUUGCUCAAAUUAAUCUGUUACCUGCCCAUCUUAUAGAUAUUUUCCCCUGCCUAUUUCUACAAAAUUUGCUGUAAUGGGCAACUAGUCAUUGGUUCCCAUCCAGGGACACUACUUGUUAGUAGUGUCCCUGGAUGGGAACCAUUGCCUAAUCUUACAAAAAAAAUCUAACCAAUUUAAUCCAGGUUGAGCAUUCUGAUGUGGAUGGGGCAAUCAUCCACCAUACACACAGAAUACUAUUAGUCACAGGUGCUAUUGAAAUCACUGGAAUAAUAACUUUUAAUAUUUAUUUCAGUGGGCCCUAAGUUAACAUUUUGAAAAGUAUCCUUUGAAAAUCUUUAGAAUACGAAGCAGGGAAAGACCCUAGCUUAUGGCACAGCAAAUGCUUUACAUACAUAAAGUCCCAGUUUCAAUCUCUGGCAGCUCCAGGUAUGGCAAGAAAAGACUUCUUUCUGAAACUCUGAAGAACUGCUGCCCAUCAACCCAGACAAUAUUGAACUAAAUGGACUUAAACACAGCUUCCUCUGUUCCUAGCCCAAUAUUUUUGCCUCUCUCUUUCUUUCUUCACUUUUCCUAUUCAUCAUGCAAAGGAUAAAAAUUAAAGGAUGGAUAAGGAACAUUUACCAAUAUGUUUGUUGGUCCAGGGGCAAAUUAAAGUGGUCAAAUGUUCAAGGUAUGAACCAGAUCUCUUUAAAAAUUUCAGGUCUGUUUAUUUCCAUUUACACCUUUGCCAGAAUGUCUACUAUAUCCAUGACCUGUAUCUCCAUGCCAGGCUGAAUUUUGGCCUUCCAUGACUGGAAUAUCAACCACUUGGCAACUACCAUGGCUUCCUUUAUCUAGGCAAUGAAUGUAAGGUUGCAGUGUCAGCCCUUAACCUCACAAUUCAAUAGGGUAUGAAUAAGUCCAGUUUCCAUGGCUAAAUCAUAUGGAGUAUCUACAACUUUAGCAAAGGGAAAGACUCUGAGCUGUCUCAGAAGCCAGGUCCAAUAUGCUUCAAAUAAGUUAUUUUGUUGUGCAAGGCUAGGAAGAAUUUUAAGAAACAUUUUACCAUUCUUUAAUGUGAAUUGUGACAUAGCAUUUAAGAACAAUAAGUUACAUUACAUUAAAUAGUGAAUUAUAAAAUAAAAUGCUCUGGGAUUUAAGAUGAAUGGCAGGCUCUAAAAGUUUCUUAGUUUCUGAGAUGCUGCAUCAGAAUCAAGCUUUGACAGUCUUCUUGACCAUAUGCUGUUGUUUUUUAAUUGUGCAGUGAUUUAUAUCUGGCAAACUGUUAAAGGUUCAAAGAGGUUGCAAAUAGAGAUGCAUGGUAGCAGCUCAGAUAUCCCUAAAACAUACAAACUACCCACCACCAUGGCACCUGAAACAUAGUGGAUAUUUUGUUAGUAUUUAUAGAUACAAGAAUUACUGCCUUGUGAUCUUUGGAUGAAGGGUGGUAUACAAAUUUUAAUAAUAAAAAAUAAAGCACAUUAAUUUCCCCAAAGAAUCCUAGGAUCUGCAGUUUCCCCCCUCCGAGCAACGAUUCCCAGCAACAUUAAAAGACAUUAAAAGUUAAAAGUUCCCAGGUUUCUUUGGAGAAGUUAUGUGCUUUAAAUGUGUGGUGCUGCUCUUCCUAUAGCAAGGGGCACCAAGGACAGCAAAAAAGGGCAUUUCUAGAAGUAACAAUAUCUCACUUGGAUUUGUGUUAGUAGGCGGACAUGUACCUCUUCUGUAGUAGCUGAGAAACCACAAUUUUCUGGGGGAUGGAUGUCAUCUAGAAUUUCUCAUCUAUCUGUUGUAUGAAUGCCAUCUGUAAUCUCACAAGUGUACUUGAGAGAUUCUCCAGGUACUGAAAUCCACAUUGAAUGACUUCUUCAAUGGUAAACAUUUAACAAGGAGAUUUCUUAAGUGCAUGUACCUUGCACGUUUUAACUUAACCUAGAAAGUAAAAUGCUGUUUUCUCUCAGCAAUCUUAGUUAAUCAGUAGUCCAAGGGUCUGGUGUUUUCAAAUGGCUCCAUUUCUCUCUCUCUCUCUCUCUCUCUGUGUGUGUGUGUGUCCCUCACCCAGUGGGCUUCUUACAGUCUAGCCAAAAUCUGUUGCAAACAGGCUAUGUAUUCCGCCCACCCCCCACCCCACCCCCGUUACUGAAAACAGAUAACAAUCUGAAUGCCAUUGUUCAUCAUGCAUCAGGUUUCACCACCCACUAUCUCCACAUUACUGUUCAAAGGCAUCUUAAGUUGCGCCUACUUUCAAGGUAUGUGAAAAUAAUAAUAAAAAAGUAGAAUACACAUAGAGAGAAAACCAGCAUAGCAAGCACAAUUUGAAAAAUCCCAUGCUGCUGAUCACUUAAAAAUCUAUGCUCUCCCCAAAGAGACCACCUCUCCCCAAAUGAGCUGACCUGGAUCUUGCAGUCAUUUGAGGUCCUUCUUUGUGUGCCUCCUCCACAAGAGGUCUGGAGGGUAGAAGCACAAGAAUGGGCCUUUUCUGCAGUGGCUCCCCAUUUGUGGAAUGUUCUCCCCAGGGAGGCUUGGCUUGCGCCUUGAUUACACAUCUUUAUGCACCAAAUGACAAUUUUUCUCUGUAACCAGGCCUUUCUCUGAUUAACAUUCUACAGUCUUUUAAAUAUUUGUGGGUGGAGGGUUAUUGGUAUGUUUUUGUUUUAUUAUGUAUAACAAAGCUAGCAUAUUUGCAAAGCUAACCAAGGUUAUUGAAUUUGGACAAGGCUGUUUGGUUUGGUCAACACCAAACCAUUCCUAAAAGAAACCAUGGUCUGGAAGUGAACAACAAACCAUGGUUUCACAUUGUGAUUUGUUGCAAGUGAACAAACCAUGCUUAGUGUCCUGUAUUGCCUUUGAACAUUGGAAUAAACUGCACAAUGGCUUAGCAUUAUGUGUGAAUCAAGGUAGCAUAUUGUAAUUGUGAUGAUUUCUGGUAGCCAUCUGAUACACUGAGUUGAAGUCAAAUUGAGAGGUAAAGGCAGUCAUUUGACAGACUGACGAGUUAAUAUUUUAUUUGCUAGUAGCAUCCUGGAUUAGUAUAAUAUAUAAUAUAAAAUACUGACUAGUGGACAAUUCUAGGCCAGGGUUUCCUUUCUUUUUCUUUUUAAUAAUGUUUUUAUUUAUUUUCAUGGUACAGAAGAUAAAUAGAAGGGUUUUCUUUCUGACAGAUAAAUGACCACCAAGAUCUGCUUUUUUAUGUAUAUGCGAUUUUAUAUCAUUUUAUCUUGUUUUGAGCUUUUAAGUUUUGUAACUGGUGUUUUUGUCUUGAUACUGAUCAUUGACCAUAAUAAAACGACUUGUACUUACAAUGGUACCUCGGGUUAAGCACUUAAUUCGUUCCGGAGGUCCGUUCUUAACCUGAAACUGUUCUUAACCUGAAGCACCACUUUAGCUAAUGGGGCCUCCUGCUGCUGCUGCACCACCAGAGCACGAUUUCUGUUCUCAUCCUGAAGCAAAGUUCUUAACCUGAAGCACUAUUUCUGGAUUAGCAGAGUGUAACCCGAAGCGUAUGUAACCCGAGGUACCACUGUAUUUGCUAGUAAAAACCAGGAAGGGGUAUGUUUAAAAUUCUGUGAGCAGUCUGUAUCCCACAACUUCUCAGUUUCAUUAUGAGUCAACUUUAUAUCAGUGAUUCUGUAGGUCUGUCGUAUGAAGGACCACUAUUCACUUGUUAUUUUAAGGAGCACUAUAUUUGGUCCUUAUGGGAUGCGGGUGGCACUGUGGGUUAAACCACAGAGCCUAGGACUUGCUGAUCAGAAGGUCAGCGGUUUGAAUCCCCGCAACGAGGUGAGAUCCCGUUCCUCGGUCCCCACUCCUGCCAACCUAGCAGUUCGAAAGCACGUCAAAGUGUAAGUAGAUGAAUAGGUACCGCUCCGGCGGGAAGGUAAACGGCGUUUCCUUGCACUGCUCUGGUUUGCCAGAAGUGGCUUAGUCAUGCUGGCCACAUGACCUGGAAGCUGUACACCGGCUCCCUUGGCCAAUAAAGCGAGAUGAGCUCCGCAACCCCAGAGUCGGCCAUGACUGGACCUAAUGGUCCCUUUACCUUUACCUAUAUUUGGUCCUUACAUUAUUGACUACCAUAUGAGAUGGUGCUUGGAGGUUUUCUAAACAAAACUCAACCACGGUCUUCUGCAACUGCAAUAUGAUGAACCAUGUAUUUAUCCACAGGUGCUGUUGCUGGUUGCUGCUUUAUUCAGUUCUUCCAGCCACUUUUACUGCUGAAGAGGGUACUUUUAAGAUGAUUAUACUACAAUUUAAACUGAAGCGGAUUGACUUUUAACAUGUGAUACUAACUCUUUGAAGAAGCCAUUCAAUCUUUAAUGAGAAAUUUUUGUAUUAUAUGCAACCAUACCAUAUUCUGCACUAGCUAGACAAAGGGGCUUUUCCGGACAGAAGUUUAAUGUGAACUGUGUGCUCGCUGCUCAUGCAUGCAAGAAAUGGUAUUCCUCACCAAAAUACUCUCCUGUAUUAUUUUCUGAGUCUGGAUUUACCAUUUCUACAGGUAUUUUGAUGGUGGUGGUGUUGCUUGGACACUGAAGAAAAACUUGCAUGCCCAAGUCCACAAUAGACUGUUGUGGGGAAGUGCCUCUAGAAGGCAACAGACUUCUUUCUGAGGCUGACAGAUAGCUGUCUAUUCAGAAGUCCCAUAAUUUUCAAUAGGGCUUACACCCAGAUAAGUGUGUAUAGGAUUACAACUUCAGGCUGCUGUUCUAAAGACUGGGGGAGGGUGAUCCUAGUGCCUUAUCUAAAGCUCUGUUGGGCUCUUGCCAGCAGGGCUUUCAACUGUGUAUGCGCACACACAUACACAUACAAGCACAUUCUCUUUCCCAUUGUUUCUGGUGGGAAGGAAUGGGAAGACAGACGUAUGUCUAAUUUCCCCCUCUGGUGACUUGACAAGUGUCUAGGAGAGUUUUGGAUCCUUUGGAUUCCUUUGGCAUCUUCCAGCAUUACAAAACCAAUGUCAGCUGAGUUGGUCGUUGGAGCUGUCAAUGUAGGAGCUGAUCCAGUCCUUCCUAAGAACCCUGUGAUGCCCUCCUACAUCCUUAGUGUUAUAUUGAUCAUAUUAUUUGGAUUAGUUGAGUGGUCCUUAUUGAUGACAUAUCCAAGCAUAUUACAAACCUUGCUCCAAAACUUUAUACUGGCUCAGACAGACAUAAAGUUAUUUGUUCCUAAUGCAUGUCGUCAGCUGGGAUGCAAACCCAGCCAGCUGUAUUUGGCUCAUAGGAUGCAGUGUAGAUACCAGUGGUAGGGAACCAUUUGGGCUCUGCUUUGGGCAGCAAGUUUUAUUGGGCCAGCACUGAAUGCAGCAUAUUCUUUACAGCUCUUCCUAUAGUGUGGAAGCAGACCUUUGGAUCUUUCUUGUCUCCCAAGUAGAUAUUAAGUAUUGCUUAAUAAAGCAAUAAGACUAAUAAAGAAAUGAAGCACAAAUCUGGGCUCAACAGAAAUUCAUGAUAUCGGUGGCCAGGUUCUAACAUGAUGUCUUGUAGAAAUGCCACUAACUUUUGUGUUAUUAAGGUGUAUUUUUGAGCUUCAUAUACAGUGGUACCUCGGGUUAAGUACUUAAUUCGUUCCGGAGGUCCAUUCUUAACCUGAAACUGUCCUUAACCAGAAGCACCACUUUAGCUAACAGGGCCUCCUGCUGCUGCCGCACCGCCGGAGCACAAUUUCUGUUCUCAUCCUGAAGCAAAGUUCUUAACCUGAAGCACUAUUUCUGGGUUAGCAGAGUCUGUAACCUGAAGCGUAUGUAACCUGAAGCGCAUGUAACCCGAGGUACCACCGUACUGAUGUUUGACCAAUGACUUCUGUGGUAAUCAUGUAGAAUGUGAAGGGAAGAAGCAUGUCCCACAACUUGAGGCGAUACAGUGAACAUAUAUAUAUAUAUAUAUAUAUAUAUAUAUAUAUAUAUAUAUAUGUGGUCAUAUUUGGGUGUAGCUUCCUGUCACCUGCCCACUGUGUAGUUGGGAACAAAUGCCCUUUCACACUUCAUGUGUUUACUGAGCAAACGUUGGUCAAGCCCUGGUGUACCCAUAGUACCACGUGAUAUAUAAAUGGAUCUAAGCACAGCUCAGAACUGAUACUCAGAUAUAACUAUUUUAUCCCUGUUGUAAGCAAGAAAUAUAACAUGUUUCUAAACUUGGUGCUUAGUUAAUCUUCUAGAUUAGCUAGAGAUAUUGUAAACUUUGUAAGGCAAGACAGUGCCUUCAGUUUCUUUGAUCCCUUAAGUAAUCCUGGUUAUCUAAGAUUUUGACUCUGUCUAGCAGCUUCUAACUCUAAACAGCAGUGCUGUAUUAUGUUCAACCAGCAGAGCAGAAAAUAUUUUUGGUGCUUUCUUGGGUAAAAGGGUGUGACACACAAAUUUGCUUGCAAGUGGCUGAGCUUGUUUCCUGCCCAGUGCUCAUAGCUUGAGUCAGGGUUAUGAAAGGUUGUAUCCAUGACACAUACAUGGAUCAGAAUUAACUGCAUCCUGCAUAUAAUGUUACACUAUCCCAUCUGUAAACAAAAUGUGAUUUGAAACAAAAAUAAUCAUGCAGAAAUUAAUUAUGCAGAAAUGAAUGGAACAGAACAUAAACCCAAGGUCUGGAUUCAACUAUUUUGGACCACAAAUAGAAUCAUAAGUUAAGCAUUGGCAGCUUUCAAAAGCACUGUAAGACCUACCGCUUUGUGAUGGCCUCUUUUAUCCCAUGGUUAAGUCAGGUAGAGAGAUCAAUGGAAUGUUAUUCUGUUGCUCACUUUCACUUGUGUUGCUUCCUCUGAACCUUUGAAAUGGAACAGCCCUACAGGAUGACUUAAAAAUUAUAAGGUGGAAAUCAUUCAUCAUAUCUUUUCUUUAUGAAGGUUAUUUCCACUAAUUUGAUGAAUGCAGGAUGAAUGCCAGUUUCCUCCAGAAAAGGUUUUAUCUCAAUCCAAAAUCAAAUAUAUCAUUCCCAGUUCAAAACAUGAGUUUUUGAUUGCCUUUUCUCUUUCUUCAUACAUAAUGUUGUGCUUUUAAAAAAAGAAAGACUACUGCUCAUCCAUUGAAACAAAUUCUUCCUGUUUUGGAAGUUGCCUUCCUAACCAGCAGAAACCUAUUAUGUAAAGAGUUGAUCUUUAUUAAGUCAUAAGAAACUAGGAGUGCUUCUUACUGUGGAAGACUGAACUUACUGUGGAAUGACCAUGUUCCGUUCACUCUUUACAGGGCAUCUUCACAACAUAAGCAGUACAUCCUUCUUGAAGUUAUGUUUUCCCUGUUCAGCUUCAGGUUUUCCCACUAGAGCUCAGAAUUUCUAAACUUAAAAAACAAACACUUUAAUGGAAUAGUUGCAGAAGGCCUCUUGUACUACUGCUUGGUUCAUUAUGGCAUGGAUAGAUUGCUCUAGACGUUUCCUUCUCUACGUUCUGUCUCUUCUCUUUAGAGCCAACUCUAUUCUGUUGGCGCUUCCAUUUCCAAAUAGCAUUGCUUUGAUAUCAGUUGCAAUGGGAGGAUUGUGCAGUGAAGGGAGAGGGGCAUUUAACCCUUUCCACACACACAGUGGAGCUGGGGAAAGGGAGAUUGCCCAGUUGACUAUAGUGUGUUUGAAGUCUGGCAGCAUAAUUGAUAGUCCUCUUCCAGAUUUAAGUAGAAGAUCAAUGAUUGAAUGUUGCUAAAUUUUCCAUGCCUGGAAGCACCUAGGACAACAAUACAUUUUGUGUGAAAUCACUCAUUGUAGAUAAUGUAUUACUUGCUUGGUAUCUUGAAUUGAAUGUUAAAUUUUAUGUUAGUACAUAUAAUUUAUGAAAUAUACUCGGAGUCCUGCAGUGAUUUCAAGCUCUUUAUUGCAGCUUGUAAAACAGUGAUUGAGUUUCCCCCCAAACCUCAGGCUUUUAUAUACAUUAUUUACACAAUGAGUCCCAUCUGAUUGGCUGAUUCUGCUUCCCUCCUGGAGCCUGAUUGGUCUUCUCCUGCAGGCCAAUCAGUUGUUGCAUUCUAGGACCCUACCUGUCUAUUGUUCUAGGAUCCAAGCUUAGUAUGUAACAGUUUAGUAUAUAGUUUAGGUCAGUAGUCUUCAAACUUUUCAAACCCAGGAUCCAUCUUUAAUCCAAACAUGCAUUUUUUUUAAACUUUCUACCAUGUAUUUAUAUUGUGAAGUGCUGCUGUUGCAACCCACGCUAGAACAGGCUGUGACCCUACUCACCAAUCGAAGGCCAGUAGUUUAGCUUUGAAUCACUGCAAUGCACUGUUGCCAGAACGAGGCAUUUCCCUUGGAGCAGGGAUAUGUAAAAAAGAUAAAUCUUUUUCUGGUGAAUCUAAAUUGCACAGAAAAUUUAGUCUCUCUCCCCCCCCCCCAAGAUUCUUUGUGCACUGCUUCUGGCUUAAAGAAAGCAGUAAGACUCCUAGAGUGAUAUCUGUUCAAGACUUAUGCAUUUAUUUCAAUGCGCCGUUAGUAUGACUACGUAGUAUAUCACUCUUGACUUCUUGUCAUACCUCACUAAUAUGUUCAUUUACCUGGUUAAAAAGGUAGUUUAAGCCCCUUGAUGCAGUGGUGUGUGUUUUGCUGUUGCUUUGUUCCAUUGAGGGUGGAAUUGGUUCUCAACAGAAUAUUAAGCAGAUAAUUCAUAGCAAUUUGAUGUGAAGUAAGUGGGAUAAUGUGUGGAAAUCAAGCUCUCUAGCGAGUUUAAGUAUUUCCUCUCCAUUCCUAUUACAAAUUCAAUAAUGCUUCUGUGCCUUGCUUGGAGUACAGUGAGUCAUGCUUCUUAGAGCUUUGGGGCCAAACUAGACGUAACAUUAAAUGCAUCUUUGCAUUUAAUGUUCAGGUUUUAAACAGCUUUGGCGGGGCAUGGGCAUGUAAUGAUCAGGAUUGCAGCAAGCCUGAAGGGGGGUUUUAACCUUUCCUCUCCUACUGUGGUUGUUUGUAGAUGUUGUUUGCAGUGGGAAUAAAUUUCCCUAUUGGUGCCAGUUGCUGUACAAGUUCUGGCUAUGCCUAGUUGGAACAUGUAGCCUAGUAAUGAAAUGCAAAAACUGCCCGUUUUAAGAAACAGAUGCAGAAUAUCAUGAAAACCCACCAUAUAUGCACAUUAAUGGGAUGCUACUAACAGCACAAUCCAUUGUUUGUUCACUAAAAAAAGUUCCGCAGAGUUCCAUGGGAGUUACUCUCAAGUCAGUUUGUAUAGGAUAGCAGCCUCAUUCAUAUUUUAUAGCAGAACUAGUAUUUAUCUAAGAAGCUGAAUUAGAAUUAUUUUCUGGGCACACAUUAUUUUGGGACUUUUAAUUUAGUAGAAGAUUCAUUUGCUUUUUAAAUCAUUCUUCAGUUAAUAAAUAUUUUUUUCCAUGAUACGUGUCGGAGCAGCUUAUGUUUAAUGUGUUGUAUUUUAUAACUCAAUCCUUCUUUUUUUUUACAUCCUCUCCUUGUCAUAAUAGGUCCAAAGACUCAAACGAUAACAUGGACUGGGGAACGCUGCAGGGCAUUUUAGGAGGUGUAAACCAACAUUCUACCAGUAUUGGAAAGAUUUGGUUGACUGUCCUGUUCAUCUUCCGUAUUAUGAUCCUUGUUGUUGCAGCGGAGGAAGUCUGGGGUGAUGAGCAAGAUGAUUUUGUGUGCAAUACGCUGCAACCAGGAUGCAAAAACGUCUGCUAUGAUCAUUUUUUCCCCAUUUCCCACAUCAGACUCUGGGCCCUCCAGCUCAUCUUUGUCUCCACCCCUGCCCUCUUGGUGGCAAUGCAUGUCGCAUACAGGCGGCACGAAAGGAAAAAGAAGUUCCGAAAGGGAGAUAAAAGCUGUGAAUAUAAGGACAUAGAAGAAAUAAAGAAACAGAAAUUUCACAUCGAAGGUCCCUUGUGGUGGACAUACACUGCCAGCAUCUUGUUCAGGCUGAUUUUCGAAGCUUCUUUCAUGUAUGUGUUUUACUAUAUGUACCAGGGAUAUCACAUGCCUCGGCUACUGAAAUGCAGCGCCUGGCCGUGUCCCAACGUAGUGGACUGCUUUGUUUCUCGCCCCACUGAAAAGACCGUCUUUACCAUUUUCAUGAUUUCAGUGUCCGGCAUUUGCAUUCUGCUGAAUGUGGCCGAGCUCUCCUAUUUGCUGCUGAAGGUUUGUGUCAAAAGGUCCAGAAGAGCAGGGAAACCAAAAAAUCACACUAACCAUGAGAACAAAGAAGAAAGCAAACAAAACGAAAUGAAUGAGCUUAUAUCUGACAGCUGCCAGAACACAGUCACAGGAUUUCCAAGCAGCUAAGGUGGCCACAAGCCUAACAUGCGAUUCAUGCAAAAUAAAUGAAUAGCCACAUUCAUAGUUGCCUGUGAUAUUGGUUAGAUUUAACUAAGCAAUAAAUUAAGUGGGGAAACAUGAGUAUUACAACAUGUUGGAAUUAGGCACGUGGUGUCUUUUUUUAAAAGGGUCAAUAACAACAUAGGAAUGUAAAGAGUAAUGGAAAUUAAAGAGAUUACAUCGUAUUAUGCAUAUCUGUACCAAGUCAGCUUUGAUUUCAUUAGAAAGUAAUACUUGUUAGUAACUUCUUGCUGAGACUCAUCCUAAAGCCAAAGGGAAAGAAAUAGCGGCCUUCCAGACUAGAUACUAUUAGUAUUAUGAGACACUUUACUACUGUGGUAGCAGUUUUAAUUGUGAGCUUGCAUCUAAAUUAAAGUAUUUUUAUAUGGUCUGAUAUUCCAUGUUCCUUGGUAUUAACAUGUAUGAAUGAGUAGCGUCUCUUUUUAAUAUUUUGUUGAAAGCUAGCAUGACGGCCGAUGUCUUCACGCUGCUGGAAGUGAAUCAUUUCUAAGCAUAUGACUACAUGCUGUAAAUAAUUCUAUGAAUACUCUAUUUUACAUACUACCAGUUUUAAAUUUAUUUGUACUAUAAUCCAUGAAUGAUAUAGUCAUAUCUGAAUAACAAAGACACUUUGGUUUCGUACACUGCAGAAGAUUUCAAGGAGUAUUGUUUUUUUUAAAUAAAUAAAUGAAAACCUGUAGACUGGAAAUGACAGUAGUAGGGAAAGGGAGGUUAACUGGCUGAAAAUAAUGUGAAGAAAUUUCUCUGAACCAGUAUGAGCAAAUUUUUAGAACAAAGUGUUUCAAAUAAAGGAAAAAAUAUAUUUAA
rnacentral:lncRNA from 1 species